rnacentral:rRNA from 1 species
CAGCCGCCACGGUAAUACGAAGGGGGCUAGCAUUGCUCGGAAUGACUGGGCGUAAAGGGCGCGUAGGCGGUUUUGACAGUCAGAUGUGAAAUCCCCGGGCUCAACCUGGGAAUGGCAGUGGAUACUGGCUCGCUAGAGUGUGUCAGAGGAUGGUGGAAUUCCCGGUGUAGCGGUGAAAUGCGUAGAGAUCGGGAGGAACAUCAGUGGCGAAGGCGGCUUACUGGCUCAUACUGGACGCUGAGGUGCGAAAGCGUGGGGAGCAAACAGGAUUAGAUACCCCCGUAGUCCCUGUCUCUUAUAC